rnacentral:rRNA from 1 species
UACAGGGGUCUCAAGCGUUGUUCGGAUUCAUUGGGCGUAAAGGGUGCGUAGGCGGCGCGGUAAGUCGGGUGUGAAAUCUCGGAGCUUAACUCCGAAACUGCAUUCGAUACUGCCGUGCUUGAGGACUGGAGAGGAGACUGGAAUUUACGGUGUAGCGGUGAAAUGCGUAGAUAUCGUAAGGAAGACCAGUGGCGAAGGCGGGUCUCUGGACAGUUCCUGACGCUGAGGCACGAAGGUCAGGGGAGCAAACGGG